GGGCUCACUUCAGCAACACAUAUAUUAAAAUUGUUACGAUAGAGAUUAGCAUGGCCCCUGUGCAAGGAUGAUAGGCAAGUUUGUGAAGUGCUCCAUAUUUUC
ensembl:snRNA U6 U6 spliceosomal RNA